rnacentral:rRNA from 1 species
UACAGAGGUCCCGAGCGUUGUUCGGAUUCACUGGGCGUAAAGGGUGCGUAGGUGGUGAGGUAAGUCGGAUGUGAAAUCUCCGGGCUUAACCCGGAAACUGCAUUGGAAACUACCUUGCUAGAGGUUUUGAGGGGGGACUGGAAUUCUCGGUGUAGCAGUGAAAUGCGUAGAUAUCGAGAGGAACACCGAUGGCGAAAGCAGGUACCUGGACCAUUACUGACGCUCAGCUGCGAAAGCUAGGGGAGCAAACAGG